rnacentral:rRNA from 1 species
AUACGUAGGUGACAAGCGUUAUCCGGAUUUACUGGGCGUAAAGGGCGUGUAGGCGGUCUUGCAAGUCAGAAGUGAAAUUCCUGAGCUCAACUCGGGCGCUGCUUCUGAAACUGCAGGACUUGAGUGCUGGAGGGGAUAGCGGAAUUCCUAGUGGAGCGGUAAAAUGCGCAGAUAUUAGGAAGAACACCGGUGGCGAAGGCGGCUAUCUGGGCAGUACCUGACGUUGCGGAGCGAAAGCGUGGGGAGACAACAGGAUUAGAUACCCUGGUCGUCCACGCCGUAAACGAUGAAUACUAGGUGUAGGGGGUAUCGACUCCCUCUGUGCCGCAGUUAACACAAUAAGUAUUACGCCUGGGGAGUUCGGCCGCAAGGUUGAAACUCAAAGGAAUUGACGGGU